rnacentral:siRNA from 1 species
CUUGAAACGGUGCAUUUCGC